CGUAGGCAGCGAGCGUUGUUCGGAGUUACUGGGCGUAAAGCGUGCAUAGGCGGUGGUCCAAGUCUGGUGUGAAAUCUCCCGGCUCAACUGGGAGGGUGCGCCGGAAACUGGGCCGCUGGAGUAUGGGAGAGGCAAGCGGAAUUCCAGGUGUAGCGGUGAAAUGCGUAGAUAUCUGGAGGAACACCCGUGGUGCAGACGGCUUGCUGGACCAUGACUGACGCUGAGGCACGAAAGCGUGGGUAGCAAACAGGAUUAGAUACCCUGGUAGUCCACGCCCUAAACGAUGCAUACUUGGUGUGGGCAGUUCAGUCUGUCCGUGCCGAAGCUAACGCGAUAAGUAUGCCGCCUGGGGAGUACGGUCGCAAGGCUG
rnacentral:rRNA from 1 species